rnacentral:rRNA from 1 species
CCUACGGGUGGCAGCAGUGAGGAAUAUUGGUCAAUGGACGAGAGUCUGAACCAGCCAAGUAGCGUGAAGGAUGACUGCCCUAUGGGUUGUAAACUUCUUUUAUAAAGGAAUAAAACGAGGCACGUGUGCCUUUUUGCAUGUACUUUAUGAAUAAGGAUCGGCUAACUCCGUGCCAGCAGCCGCGGUAAUACGGAGGAUCCGAGCGUUAUCCGGAUUUAUUGGGUUUAAAGGGAGCGUAGAUGGGUUGUUAAGUCAGUUGUGAAAGUUUGCGGCUCAACCGUAAAAUUGCAAUUGAUACUGGCAGUCGUGAGUACAGUUGAGGUAGGCGGAAUUCGUGGUGUAGCGGUGAAAUGCUUAGAGAUCACGAAGAACCCCGAUUGCGAAGGCAGCUUACUAAACUGUGACUGACAUUGAUGCUCGAAAGUGUGGGUAUCAAACAGGAUUAGAUACCCGAGUAGUC